rnacentral:rRNA from 1 species
ACUCAAAUGAAUUGACGGGGACCCGCACAAGCGGUGGAGCAUGUGGUUUAAUUCGAUAAUACGCGAGGAACCUUACCAGAUCUUGACAUAUACAGGAAUUAUGCAGAGAUGUAUAAGCUUACUAGUUUACUAGUAGGUCUGUAAACAGGUGGUGCAUGGCUGUCGUCAGCUCGUGCCGUGAGGUGUUGGAUUAAGUUCCGCAACGAGCGCAACCCCUCCAUUUAAUUGCCGAAAGGCUCUUUAAAUGAACUGUCUGUGAAAGCAGAAGGAAGGCGGGGACGAGGUCAAGUCAUCAUGCCCCUUAUGAUCUGGGCUACACACGUGCUACAAUGGGAAGGAACAAAGGGAAGCGAAGUAGUGAUAUGGAGCGAAUCUCAUAAAACUUUCCUCAGUUCAGAUUGUAGUCUGCAACUCGACUACAUGAAGACGGAAUCGCUAGUAAUCGCGUAUCAGCAACGACGCGGUGAAUACGUUCUCGGGUCUUGUACACACCGCCCGU